CGUAGGGGGCGAGCGUUGUCCGGAAUCAUUGGGCGUAAAGAGCUCGUAGGCGGCUCAGUAAGUCGGGUGUGAAACCCCCAGGCUCAACCUGGGGACGCCACCCGAUACUGCUGUGGCUAGAGUCCAGUAGGGGAGUGUGGAAUUCCCGGUGUAGCGGUGAAAUGCGCAGAUAUCGGGAGGAACACCAGCGGCGAAGGCGGCACUCUGGGCUGGAACUGACGCUGAGGAGCGAAAGCGUGGGUAGCAAACAGGAUUAGAUACCCUGGUAGUCCACGCCGUAAACGUUGGGCACUAGGUGUGGGGACCCUCCAACGGUCUCCGUGCCGUAGCUAACGCAUUAAGUGCCCCGCCUGGGGAGUACGGCCGCAAGGCUA
rnacentral:rRNA from 1 species